AGCAAAGGGGACUCGGCCGCCAUGUUAGGAGUACUGGGACGAUUCCGCGGAGCCGGGCAGAGGUUUUAGGGGUGCGCAGGAGUCAAGUGGUGGUUCAGUGGGGACGGAAUGAUUAACAAAGGCGUCCGAAGAAAUCGUUGUUGGAAGGUGACCAAGGUGGAAAGAGACGUUGCUUUGGCCCUGCAAGUAAGAAGAGAGAGGGAAUAGCCUGAAGGAGUAACACUAAAUUUAAAAUGACACUUUUUUACCAACCAGCGAAAGCAGAUGUUCAAAGGGGAUAUUGGCCAGAGUCUGUCACACUAAGAUGAGAAAUGUCCUUUCUUCCUGAAGGUGUCUGAUGUGUAAAAAUAUGAUAUACUUUGUGCUGUUUCCUCCCUUCCCUUUUGCAUAUUAUUCUGAAACAACAUUAACUAGUUACUUUGCGUCAUUGAAGAAACAGUCUCACUCUGUCACCCAGGCUGGAGUGCAAUGGCUCGGUCUCAGCUCACUGCAACCUCCGCCUCCUGGAUUCAGGCAGUUCCCCCACCCCACCCUCCCGAGUAGCAGAGACGGGGUUUCACUGUGUUGGCCAGGCUGGUCUCGAACUCCUGACCUUGUGGUCUGCCCGCCUCGGCCCCCCAAAGUGCUGGGAUUACAGGCGUGAGCCACCGCACCCAGCCAAUCUAACCAUUUUCAAGAUUUGAUCUGCAAAUACCUGAAGUAAGUACAAGCACUGUGGCCCAGUUAAAGAGUGUUAGAACUGUAAGAAGUCCAAAGGCAUAGCUAAGAAUUGCUUUAGAGUCAGUUGUGGGUUCUGAAUUCUUGCUCUGAUAGUUAGCAACUAUGUCUACUUUGGCAAAUUUAGGUUUUGAAGCCUUCCAUAUCUUUAAAAGGAGGUAACAUUUAACAGAGCACCAAAUACAAGGUUUUCUGUAAUAUUAGUUCCAUAGCAUGGUCUGCAAACUUCCAACAUCAGAAUCUCCUGGGAUAUAUGCUAAAUGCAGAUUCUGGUUUCCCAACCAGAAUAUACUGCUUAAAAAUCUGAGGGUUAGUUCUAGGAAUCUGCAUUUUUUUCUAUACAAUGUAUGUAUUAGGGUUCCCUGGAGGGACAGAACUAAUAGGAGAUACAUAUAUAUACACACAUAUAUUUAUUAAGUUUAUUGAGAACUUACACGAUCACAAGGUCCCACAGUAGGCUGGCUGCAAGCUUGAGGAAAAGAGAGAGCCAGAGUCUGAGUCUGAAAACUGAAGAACUUGGGGGUCCAGUGUCUGAGGGCAGGAAGCAUCCAGCGUGGGAGAAGGAUGGAAGCUGGGAGGCUAGGCCAGUCUCUCCUCUUCACGUUUUUCUGCGUGCUUAUAUUCUACCUAUGCUGGUAGCUGAUUAGACUGUGCCCACCAGAUUGAGAGUGGGUGGGCCUUCCCCAGCCCACUAACUCAAAUGUUAAUCUCAUUUGGCAACACCCUUACAGACAAACCCAGGAUCAGUAUUUUGCAUCCUUCAAUCAAGUUGACACUUAGUAUUAACCAUCACAAUGUAUGAUUUUUAAAAUCUGCAUUUUUAAUAAGCUACUAGUUUAUUUUUCCACCUAAUCCAAUUCCUAAUUUUAUUUGAAAGCACCAAGGUAAAUAGUUCCUAAAUCACUGUUAUUUAAAUUGUGCUCCAGUACCCCUUAUUCUUGCUGCAAUUCCAAGACAGAGAUAACAAAAAUUUUUUUUUCAAUGUUUUGUUUUUUUGAGACAGAGUCUCGCUGUGUCCCCCAGGCUGGAGUGCAGUGGCUCGAUCUCGGCUCACUGCAAGCUCCGCCUCCCGGGUUCACGCCGUUCUCCUGCCUCAGCCUCCUGAGUAGCUGGGAUUACAGGCAUGUGCCACCACACCCUGCUAAUUUUUUGUAUUUUUUUUUUUAGUAGAGACGGGGUGCAUGCUGCAUGCUCCGCCUCCCGGGCUCUCGCCAUUCUCCUGCCUCAGCCUCCGGAGUAGCUGGGACUACAGGCGCCUGCCACCACGCCCGGCUAAUUUUUUGUAUUUUUACUGGAGACGGGUUUUCACUGUGUUAGACGGGAUAGUAUUGAUCUCCUGACCUCGUGAGCCACCGCGCCCGGCCUGCCAAAAUUUUUAAUGUUUGCAUGUACAUAGUUACUCAACAAAGAGGCCAGGUGUGGUGGCUCACGCCUAUAAUGCCAACACUUUGGGAGGGUUGCCUGAGCCCAGGAGUUCGAGACCAGCCUGGGCAACAUUGUAAGAGCCUGUCUCUUAAAAAUAUAUAUUUUGGGGAGCCAGGUGUGGCACCUCACGCCUGUAAUCCCAACACUGGGAGGCUGAGGUGAGUGGAUUGCUUGAGCUCAGGAGUUCGAGAUCAGCCUGGGCAACAUGGCGAAACCCUGUCUCUACCAAAAAAAAAAAAAAAAAAAAAAGUAGAGGCAUCGUGGUGUGUGCCUGUGGUCCUGGCUACUGGGAAGUCUGAAGUGGGAGGAUCGCUUGAGCCUAGGAGGUGGAGGUUGGAGUACGCCAAGAUCACACCACUGCAUUCCAGCCUUGGUGUCAGAGUUAGACCCUGUCUCAAAAAAUAUAUUUUAAAAUGAUAUUAAGUAAAGAAUAUAGUCCAGCCACAUGAGCAAGUAUUGCUUAUCUAGAAAGACGUAUAAUAAAGUUCUUUUGGGGAGAUAAACUAUGAUCCAUUCUAUGUUUCAUGUAAAUCAGGGGCAGCCAAUCUUCUGGCUUCCUUGGGCCACAUUGGAAGAAUUAUCUUGGGCCACACAUAAAAUACACUAACACUAAUGAUAGCUGAUGAGUUUUUAAAAAGAAUCACAAAAGCAAUGUUUUAGCAAAGUUUAUGAAUUUGUGUUGGGCUGCAUUCAAAGCUGUCCUGGGCCGCAAGGUGGAAAAAACUUGAUCUAAAGUAUUUGAUUUUUUUAGAAAAGUUUUUGAAUGGCCAGGUGUGGUGGCUCACACCUGUAAUCCCAGCACUUUGGGAGGCCGAGGCAGGCGGAUCACGAGAUCAGGAGAUCGAGACCAUCCUGGCCAACAUGCUGAAACUCCAUCUCUACUAAAAUACAAAAACUUAGCCAGGCAUGCUGGCAUGCGCUUGUAGUCCCAGCUACUCGGGAGGCUGAGGCAGGGGAAUCACUUGAACCCAGGAGGCGGAGGUUGCAGUACAGUGAGCCAAGAUCGCGCCACUGUACUCCAGCCUGGUGACAGAGCAAGACUGUCUCAAAAAAAAAAAAAAGGAAGCUUUUGAAUAAGAAGCAACUCUACAGUACUCUAUUGUAGACAACCAAAGUAUUAAUAUUUGGGGGGCACAAUUUCAACCAACUUUAAAUUAUUUCAUUCUGGAAGUAUGUGUUGAGUAAAUAUGAAGUAUAAGGCCCCUAGAGGUACAGAUGGCUAUGGCCGUCUAAACCAUUUUACUCUUAACUUUUAGUGUCAUGGACCUCUUUGUCAAUCUAGUGAAGUCUAUGGACCGCUUUUUUUUAAAAAAGCCUUUAAACAUAUAAAGUACAGUACAUUGAAUUACAAAAGGAUCCAAGAAUAUUGAAAUAGUUACCAAAAAAAUUUGAUAUAGAAAUAUAUGUGGUUUAUUAAUGAAUAAGAUCUAGCAGUGGCCUUACUAUAAUUUCAACACAGUAGCGUGGUGAGCAUAAAUAUUUCAACUUAUCUGCAACAAUUGUAAUGUGAUAUGGAAAUAAUCAGUUUAAUUGUGACAGUCACAUUUACUGCUAACUACUGUGAUUGACUGGCUAUGUUUACAUUUUAUUAGAAGUUAUUGAAAGUAGAUGCCAGGCAUGGUGGCUCAUGCCUGUAAUCCUAGCACUUUGGGAGGCCAAAGUGGGCAGAUCAUUUGAGCCCACGAGUUCGAGACCAGCCUGGCCAACAUGAUGAAGCCCUGUCUCUACUAAAAAUAAAAAAAAAAAUUAGCCUGGCAUGGUGGCCUGCUGUAGUCCCAGCUACUCACAAGGCUGAGGCAGAAGAAUCACUUGAACCAGGGAGGCAAAGAUUGCUGUGAGCUGAGAUCACGCCACUGCACUCCAGCCUGGGCAACAGAGCCCGACCCUGUCUCAAAAUAAAAGAGAGAUGUAAUGGACCCCUUUAAUUAAUCUAUAAACUCCUAAUUAAGAACCCUGGUUAAAAUUUUUUAAUAGGAGCUUGUCUUCUUCACUGUUGUAUCCAAAGCCUGACUGAAAUCUGUAGACACCUAAGCAGUGAAAAAUUUGAUGCCUUAACCUAUAUAAUUUAAAAUCAAAAUAUUUACACUAUAAGGUGAAUUUAAGGAAGAUCUCAUUUUUCUCAUGGUGAAGACUAAGAUACUUUUUCAAAAUUACUAAAUUUUCAUUUGUUUCAUCAGGGAUGAGGUUGGGGGAGGAUCUAGCUCCUUUAUUAAUACCUGAAUAUAUAGGUUUUAAUAUCCAAGCUUGACUAUAUCCACUACACUUGGUACACAACAGAACAAAUGAAUGAACAUUUUCAUGCCUGUAAUCCUAGCACUUUGAGAAGCCAAGGCAGGAGGAUUGCUUAAGCCCAGGAGCUUGUGACCAGCUUGGACAACAUAGGGAGACCUUAUCUCGACAAUAAAUUUAAAAAUUAGCUGGUUGUGGUGGCACGUGCUGGUAGUCCUAGCUACUGGGGAGGCUAAGGUGAGAGGAUCGCUUGAGCCCAAGAGGUUGAGGCUGCAGUGAGCCAUGAUCAUGCCACUGCACUCCAACUUGGGCUACAGAGCAAGACCUUGUCUCUCAACUAAAAAUAAAAAAUAAAAUUCACGAUACUCCCCAAAAGCUGAUGAUAACAUGUAAGAAGCGACUUGAUUUUACCUUCUAACUCUCCCUCCCUUUUAGCACAAUGCUGCAAAAUGACUGGCUCAUAAACCACUAAGCUGCCUUGGCAGCCACUUGUUAUUGUUACCAGUAGGUAAUAUGCUGUUUUCUUCUGCUUGGCACAUAAGCAGUAGGCAUGAAAUAAUUGCUUAAUGGAUAAGUAAGUUGUUAAAUUAUAAAACUCUGAUGGAUUGCUUAGUCCUUUAACAAUUUACACCCCCCUCCCACUUAUCCAAUUCUUUUGUGACAGAUUUUGCACUAGCAAAGUGCACUGUUUCAGACAAUCAAGGAAAUAAAACAUUUCUUGAUGAAAUCCUACCUCGCCUCAACAGGAAACUGAAUUGGAGUCCUCAAUUCUCAGUACAUCAGAACUAGUGUGUGAAAGGAUCAGGAGAGGACCAUAGUAUUGGAGAAUAAAACAUUAUGUAUUGAUGGUUGAGCUUUAUGUCAUCGUGUAGUAAAUGCUAUGACCAUAAAGCCAUUACUGUUAACACUUAAGUUUAUCUUCUGAAAGAAGCCUAUGAAAUAUCUCCAGAAAGACUAGGGGAUUUUCUUCUGUUUGUUUGUUUGUUUGUUUGAGAUGGAGUUUGCUCUGUUGCUCAGGCUGGAGUACAGUGGUGCGAUCUCGGCUCACUGCAACCUCUGCCUCCCAGGUUCAAGUCAUUCUCCUGCCUCAGCCUCUGGAGUAGCCAGGACUACGCACUGCGCCACCACACCCAGCUAAUUUUGUAUUUUUGGUGCAGACAGGGUUUCCCCAUGUUGGCCAGGCUGGUCUUGAACUCCUGGCCUCAAGUGAUCCGCCCACCUCGGCCCAAAGUGCUGGCCACCGCGCCCAGUCAGACUUGUUUUUUAGUGAAAUAAAUUGUUUUCCUUUAGGACCUUAUUCUUUAUGAUAACAGAUUCCAAGAAUAUGCAGUCUUGUCAAUGGCUGUUUCAUCCUCAGUUUCUUUAAAAAUAAAAUACAAUUAGAACAUUUUUAGAUAUGCUAUAUCUAUCCAAUCUAUUUUCCUGUCACCCAGUAAGGUUUUCUAUCAUCAGCACAGGUCUAUGAAAGGACAGUAAAGGGUCUCCUGUUACAUACCCUAGCACUAAUGUUUGUAAUAGAAUGUUAAGAUAAGUUGUUUCAUGUAAUCGGACUACAUUCAGUCUUUCUCUACCCUCUGUCCUCUAUUUACCCACCUAUGCAUGUGGCCUACUAAUUAUAUUGACUGUACAUGACCAGCAAGUUGUAAGUUCUUUUAAAAGCAGGAGCUCAACCAUAUUUGUAUUCACAUUUCCUUCUGCUUAAAACAGGGCUCUUGUUUCUUCAGUAAAUAUUCAUUCGGUAUCCACUAGGUGUCAGAUAAUAUACAAGGUAGGUUCUAGGGAUUCCAAGAUAAAUAAACACAGAUAUGCCAAUAUGAGUCUGACAGUUUUGGCGGGGAGAGGUGGAAAAUAGAUCUGCAAGCCAAAAAAGCUACAGUAGAAUAAUAUAAAUAUUGUAAUGGCAAUAAAAUACCAGAACUAUUAAUUUUACAUUUAGUAAUCAUUCAGUAUCAAUUAAAUGGGUAAAAUGGAUAUGUUGGCAUGAAUGACAUAUAACUGAAAAAACACUAAGAACUGUAUAGAAACUGAAUUAGACAUAUGAGUAAUAUUAGUAGGAAGGGGAGAGAAUAUUUGAUUCCAGGUAGGCUACCAAGCAGGAUGUUUUUUCAGCACAGCCUUGGAAUAAAAUCUGUAACCUUUGAAAACAAUCACAUUUUUGUUCUUAUGCAAUCUUUGUUUUUAAAUGUAUUUAUUGUUUUGGCUCUAGUCCCUGAAUGUUAAAAUUUUAGUGUCAGUGUUAAUUCUCACUUAUCUUCUCCAGACCUUACUCCCUAAUUUUCUCAUUUUCAUUUGCCCCAAUAAGUGCCAACCUUACCUUGAAUAGAAUAGUGGAUUUAUCAGCUUACAAGGACUAAAAAGUCGUCAUUUCCAAAAACAUCUGUCCAAUAAGUCUGCCUCAGUGACUACAUUUCUAGCAUUACAAUGUCAUUCUUAGUACACUGAUUUGAUCUUUACAAAUUACAUAAAUGUAUAAAAUUGUCGCAUGUACCCUAAAUUAUAUACAUCUAUUAUGUAUGUAUCAAUAAAAAAAUAAUUUUCUGUGCUUUUUCUCCUGUUAAAAAGAAUUCUUUUCUUUUUGAGACAGGGCCUGGCUCUGUCACCCAGGCUGGAGUGCAGUGGUGCAAUCUUGGCUCACUGCAGCCCCUGCCUCCCAGGCUGAAGUGAUCCUCCCACCUCAGCCUCCUGAGUAGUUGGGACUACAGAUGGGUACCACCAUGCCUGGCUAAGUUUUUGUAGAGACAGGGUUUUGCCAUGUUGUCCAGGCUGGUCUCAAACUCCUGAGCUCCAGCAGUCUUCCUGGCUUGGCUUCCCAAAGCGCUGGGAUUACAGGUGUGAGCCACCACACCCAGCUGAUUCUUUAGAAGACCAGUAUUGCAUUGUGAUUGCCUCUGGGCAGGAAAACUAAGGGGCAUCAGUAGACUAUGCAAUUACUUUCUUCCUCUUUAAAAAAGUAUUGUUAAUUUUUAAAUUUACAUAUUUUGGUAUACAAUUCUAUGAGUUUUGACAAAUGCAAAGAAUCAUAUAACCACCGCCAUAAUUGAGAUACUAAACAAUUCUAUCACCUCAAAAAAAAUCCUCUUGAGCUGUCUCAUUUAUAAUUUUUGUGAUUAAAAAUGGUUAUUUUUCAAAAAGUAACGUUUGGGCCAGUGCGCCUGGAGUGCACCAGUAGUCCCAGCUACUAGGGAGGCUGAGGCAGGAGAAUUGCUUGAACCCGGGAGGUGGCGAUUGCAAUCAGCUGAGAUCACACCACUGCACUCCACCCUGUGAGUGGGCUACAGAGUGACACUCUGUCUAAAAACAAAAACAAAAAAACACUUUAAAUGUUUCAUAUAGUUAUUCCUUAUUCAAAAAGUAUGCCUUUUUGGGUUAAGACAGUGCCAUUUCAAAUAGCCUUGUAGAAAUAUAAGCAAGGAAAUGCUAAAUUAUACCAUUAUUGAUCAUUAGUACCUUAGCUUGUAGUUUAAACUGUUGAAGAGAAUUAGGACUCCACCUGGCAUUGUGGCAUAAGCCAGUAGUCCCAGCUACCCAGGAGGCUGAGGCCUGAGCUCAGGAGUUCAAGACUAGACUGAGCACAUAGCGAGAUCUUGUCUCAAAAAAUGAAAGAAAAAGAAUUAGGACUCAGAAAAGGUAAAGGGUGUGUGUGUUUGAUUAGAUAGAGGAUGGGAUUGAAGGCUUAAGGAGGAGAUUAGGGCCUGAGAUGGAACAAUGCGCAUGGAAGGAUAGAUAUGGGUAGUGUGUUCUGAGUAAUAUAAGAGACCUAGAUUCUCAAAGAUAGAGGGCACCAAAGAGAUGAGUCCUGUAGAGGGGUGACCUUCAUGUAAAAAAUGAUCUAUCUUAAUUGGGAGCUACAGACCUGGGAUUCUGUACUGAACUUAUACAGAAUAAGUAAUUUACUCUUCAAAAGUCGCUUCCCCAGCUGGGCGCAGUGGCUCAUGGCUGUAAUCCCAACACUUUGGAAGGCUGAGGCAGGUGGAUCACCUGAGGUGAAACCCCGUCUCUACUAAAAAUAAAAAAAAAGUAGCCAGGCAUGGUGGUGGGUGCCUGUAAUCCCGGCUACUCGGGAGGCUGAGGCAGGAGAAUUGCUCGAAACCAAGAGGCAGAGGUCGCAGUGAGCUGAGAUGGUGCCAUUGCACUCCAGCCUGGGCGACAAAUGCAAAAACUGCAUCUAAAGAAAAAAAAAAAAAGUCACUACGCCUUUCUGGGCCUCAAUUUCAUAAUCUGUAAAAUAGUAAGGUUGGACUGAGUAUAUACCAAGGUCCAUUUCAGAGUUCUCCAGCUAGAAGCAAAACCCUUGUGUGUAUGUGUUAGUUUUUUUCCCCUAAGGUUUUGUCCUCUAGUUUUAACUAGAGAGACACAUUUGGGAUAUUAAUAACCGAAUUCUAGCAAGCAUUAUGAUCUCUUCAGAUUUCAUGUAGUUUGAUGUCAGAAGCUGCAUAGCAAAGUUAAGCCUGAUCUGAAUUGGCUUCAAGUGGAUAGAGCUGUAUGACCCUCAGUCUUCUCAUGUAUAGAAUGACUUAUAUACUCUAAACUUCCUUGUAGUUUUCAUAUUUCAUGACUAUGAAACCUGUGAAAACUUACCAGUGUUUUUUCUAUUCAUACUUCCUUUGAGUCUGCAGCUGCUGUUCUUCUGAUUUGAUUUUUUUGUUGUUUAUUUUUAUUAGCCACUAUUCAUUCAGUACCUUUUAUAUGUCAAAACGUUUGAUAUUUAACCUACGUUAUUUAAGGGCUUUUGUACUGCUGCUGUACUUUAUAGGUGCAUAGAUAUGGUAAAAUCACACCAUGCCUCCUGCUCUGACUCUGGAUAACAUAUUCCUACAGCAGGAUCUCAUUUCAAUAAAAAUUAAAAGAAACACUAGAGAGAGGAAGAAGGGGAGAAGAUAAAUGUGGCUUUAAAUUGAUAAGUGAAAGGCAAGGAACUAACAUUUGAGGAUCUACUAUGUGUUAGACACUUUAUAACAUGGAUCUUCUUUAGAUCAUUGAGAUAAGCAGGUAGAAAGACAUCACAAAGGGAGUCUGCUUGUAUUGAUAGCAAGAAGAAAAAAAUGACUUCAUGCCAUAAAUCACUGGAAUUAUUCAGAAUUUUUGUUUUGCAUGUUAUCCUCCAUUAUGAGGACAAAGACAGCAUAAUGUCUCUAUGUAGUAAGUGUUUGGUGAAUGUUUAUUGAAUAAGUAGGGAUUUUUAUCAUGCAUAUAGUAGUGUUUCUUAAUGUUUUGGAUCCAUGGACUUAUAAAAAUUUUAUAAAAGCUAUGGCUACAUCCAGGAUGUUACCUCCCUCCCCUGCCACACACAAAAGGAAACAGCCAAGUCCCUCCCCUCACUCUAACCAUUCCCACAUCUAUAUUUGUGUAAAACCCAUGAUUUUAAACUGUUUGCAGCCCCUCUGUAAUCCAUUCACAUGACCCAAGAACUCAGCCCUGGAAACAUCUCUGGGUAUCCAGGUAGACUAAAAGCAUAGUUCCAUUAAUUUAUAGUGCUAUAUGGUUCUGCCAUGCUUUAUUGGUCCUUUAUAGACUUGAGAAAAUCACACCAUGCCUCUUGACCAUUAACAAAUGGUCAUGUUCAGUCUUCCUUUUUAUGAGUGGAAAUUCCAUCCAAUUUGCUUUUAGGUUCAUUAAUAUGUACUACAACCAAAAGAUCAGCAGCAUUAUAUACUUUAUCUUUUUUAGUCUUUUGAAGUACAAAUUAUGCGAUUUUACAGAUAAAUUAUCUCAUGGGUAGCAUAUGUCUGGCUUUCUAGGUGGAAUGAUUCCUAUUUCUUUUUGUACCUCUCCCCAUUCAGAACUCACUUUGAGGCCAAGCGUGGUUGCUCAGGCCUGUAAUCCCAGCACUUUGGGAGGCCGAGGCAGGUGGAUCACCUGAGGUCAGGAGUUGGAGACCAGCCUGGCCAACACGACAAACCCCGUCUCUACUAAAAAUACAAAAAUUAGCCUGGCAUGGUGGCACACACCUGUAAUUCCAGCUGCUCGGGAGGCUGAAGCAUGAGAAUCACUUGAACCUGGGAGGCAGAGGUUGCAGUGAGCCAAGGUUGCAGUGGAUCAAGAUCACACCACUGCACUCCAGCCUGGGCAAUAGAGUGAGACUCUGUCUCAAGAAGAAGAAAAAGAAAAAAAACUCACUUUAAACUCUGCUAGACCAUUGCCCUUGUAUGUGAAAUUUUAUCUGGAUAGAAGAAGAUGAGGAAAAAAAUUUUCUUGUCUUUUAGUGGAGGAGAAUGACAUGUAAAACAAGUAUUCUUUAAAAAUUCCAAAUAUGAUAUGAGAACUACCCCAUAAAGUUGUGAAGGUCACAUUGGUGAAAGGAAAACUAAGUGCUGUGUAAAUUACAAAGUUGUCUAAGUAUCCACCUGGUCCUUACCUUGCUAUAGAAUCUUUUUUUUUUUUAGACGGAGUCUAGCUCUGUCGCCCAGGCUGGAGUGCAGUGGCGCAAGCUCCGCUUACUGCAAGCUCCGCCUCCUGGGUUCAUGCCAUUCUCCUGCCUCAACCGCCCGAGUAGCUGGGAUUACAGGUGCCCACCACCACGCCCAGCUAAUUUUUUUUUUUUUUUUGUAUUUUUAGUAGAGACGGGGUUUUCCCAUGUUAGCCAGGAUGGUCUUGAUCUCCUGACCUCGUGAUCUGCCCACCUCGGCCUCCCAAGGUGCUGGGAUUACAGGUGUGAGCCACCACGCCCAGCCUACCUUGCUAUAGAAUCUUUAGGCCUAAUAUAGUCUAGCCAGAACAGCUAUUUGGAUGCUUGCCUAAUCUUCAAUACUGGUUUCCCUUUUAUACAUGACUGCAAAACUGACUCUCACCUAGGUUUGUGAUGUUAGAAACUCCAGUUGUUUACUAUUAUUAUUAAAGUGGGAAACGGAGUUCGUUGAUCAAAUGGAUUAAUGUUUUGAGUACUUACUAUACACCAGGGGCUCUUAAAUUUUUACAUAAACUUUCUGGAUGGAGAGUGAUAGAAUCUCCAUUGUUCACUUGCCACAAGCCACACCAUUUGUAGCUAACAUUUGAAUGCUUACUAUGAGCAAAGGCACUGUUCCAAGGGCAUUACAUGCACAUCAUUCAUAUUUCUCAUUUAAUCUUUAUAACAACUCCUUAAAAUACUGGUAGUAUUCUUGUUCCCUAAUUUGUCAAUAAGAAAACUGAAAUUUAGAGAUUAUACAAUUUGCCCAGCACUAUUGGAAAGCUGGGACUUUGAAACCUGGCUGAUUUGACUCCAAAGUCUGCACUCUAUUCCAACAGACUGCCAGUGCCUCCAGAAUUAAUUAGCAUUAAUAUUUUCUGUUGUUUAUGAUCUAAGUAUGGCUGUCCAUGGCAGGGAGUUAAUGAGGGAGGCAUUAAUGGGGAAACACUGGACCACUUCUGAGAGAUGUGGUGCCCUCCCUCACAAACAGGUUUCUUGUGGUGAAAUCAGGUUGGAAGGAUAAGAGAGGCUGAAGAAGGUGGAGGUGGUGUAGUUGGGCCUGUUUAGGAACUGAUUACAUCUGAGCCUCUGGCCCUUUUUCCUGCCAGCUGACUCAGAGCUGGCAGAUGGGCCAAAGUCCAGGCAGGUUGAUUUCAUGGGCUGUAUACUUCAAAGGAUCUGAUUCCUGGUGCUACUAAGCACAUUGCUUUUCCGAAGGCACAGUCUUGUGGGGGAGGGAACAGGAUGGUCUCCAUGAGGUGUUUGUGAAAGCCCUAGGCAAUGUUUGCUCUAAUCCAAAUAUAUACAGCUUGUUUUGAGUUUGGCAAUAAAACACAGAGCCAGCCCUAAGCAGGGCUGAAAACUGAGUAUUUAAACCUUAAGUAUUCUGCAAUACAACAACAGUUAAGUAUAUGGGUCCUAGAGUCAGAUAGAACUGAAAUCUAAUCUUGACUUCACCACUCAGCUGUAGAUAAAUUACUAGACCUCAGUUUUCUUGUUCGUGAAAUGGGGAUUUUAGUUAUAGAGUACCUACUUCAUAUGGUUGUCGUGAGGAUUAAACAAAAAUGUAUACCACAGUACCUGAGAUGUAGUAAACACUCUUGAAACAUUAGUCAUUAUUCAUUUUUUAAAUUUUUCCUUCAAAUACUUUCCUAUCCAAUAGUCAUUAUUCAUUGAAAACUUCUAUUUUAUAAGACGAUCUCAGCACUUAAACAAAAUAAAUUGAUUCAUCAUGUUUUCACUUAACAGGCAUUCAAAAGGCAUUUAUUAUUGUGUUGGGUAGAUGGAUGGAGAAAAUAGCAAUAAUUUUUGUUGAACACCUAAAAUGAGCCAAACUUUUUAAAAAAUAUUGUCUCAUUUUAUGCUCACAACAGCUCUAUGAAGUAUUUUCCUAUAUUAUAGAUGAGAUCAUGGGCCAAGAGAGGAUUAGCAACAUGCCUAAGAUCAUAUAGUCAGCACUGUCUAAUUCUGAAGCCUAUGAAUAAGGUAGCAUUUAUCCCCACGGAAGCAUGGUAUUCAGCAGGCAGGCAGACACAUAAACAAGUACAGCUGGCCCAUCUAGCCUCACGUUCUGCAUCCAUGGAUUCAACCAAAAAUGGAUUUAAAAUAUUGGGGAAAAAACAAAUAAUAAAACAACUAAAAAAUACAAAUUUUAAAAUAUAGUAUAACAACUACUUACAUAGCUUUUACAUUGUAUUAGGUAUUAUAAGUAAUGUAGAGAUGGUUUAAAGUAUACAAGAGAGUCUGGACACAGUGGCUUAUGCCUGUAAUCCCAGCUUUUUGGGAGGCCAAGGUGGGUGGAUCCCUUGAGCCCAGGAGUUUGAGACCAGCCUGAGCAACAAGAUGAAACCCUGUCUCUACAAAAAAUACAAAAAUUAGCCAGAUGUGUUGGUGCAUGCCUGUGGUCCCAGCUACUCGGGAGAGUGAGGUGGGAGAAUCACUUGAGCCUCAGAGAUCGAGGCUGCAGUAAGCUGUAAUCACGCCACUGCACUCCAGCCUGGGUGACAGAGUAAGACCCUGUCUCAAAAGUAAUAAUAAUAAUAAAGUAUACAAGAGGAUGUCAUAUGUUAUAUGCAAAUAUUAUACCUUUUUUUUUUUUUUUUUUUGAGACAGUCUCUUGCUCUGUUGCCCAGGCUGGAGUAGAGUGGUGCUAUCAUAGCUGACUGUAACCUCGAACUCUUUCCUGAACUUGAGUGAUCUUCCUGCUUCAGCCUCCCAAGUAGCUGAGACUACAGGCAUGUGCCAUCACAUCCAGCUAAUUUUUAAUUUUUAAUUUUUUUUGUAGAGAUGGGGUCUCACUGUGGUGCCCAGGCUGUUAUGCCAUUUUAUAUAAGGGACUUGAACAUCUGCAGAUUUCAAGGGGAAAGAGUUUGAGGUUACAGUCAGCUAUGAUAGCACCACUCUACUCCAGCCUGGGCAACAGAGCCAGAGACUGUCUCAAAAAAAAAAAAAAAAAGAGGAGAGUCCUGGAACCAACUCCCCACAGUUAUGGAGGAAGGACUGUACCUACAGUCAAAGUGCUGUCGUUGAGUUUUACACUAGGUGCUUGGGAGAACAGAAUGGAAUAGGUGAACUCUGGGCAUGAAGUGAAGGUAGUCCCCUUCACAGGAAUAAAUGCUAAUAAUGGGGCUUCAGGUGAGAAUGAGGAAGGAAGCCUUUGCUGGUGGAGGAGUUAAGGGAGUUCUUUCUGGGUUUCCCUAAGUCACACUAGAAGAAAAGGGUUACAGGGAGGCCUUUCUGGAAUUCCUCAAGUCAAUAUGACAGCCUCUUAGAUCCAGCAUUACAACUGCAGCAAAUUUUAUAGCUGCAAACAAAGAAACUGUCUCCAGAGAGACAGAUUAUGUUGUUUACUUGAGGCAAAAUGGUGGGGGUUCUAUAUAAAUGAUAUGUCUGCAUCCGAAUCAUCUGUACCUUUUUGGGCUUUAGAACCAAACCUAAUAGUAAUAAUAGCAACCAAUUCUUAACUGCAUGAUCAUUAGGUACUAAUCACUGCUAUGUUCACAGGCUAGAACUCUCAACUGGAGAAAGGUAGAGUUGUUUGUCUAAAUCAAUAAUCUCAAAUUAAGUACACUUAAUUUGAGCAUAUACCCCCAAUAUAUGUAUAUUACUUUAUAAGUUAUACACAUCCACUAUUGGGCUAAUAUAAAAUAUACAUUAUGAAAUGUAAACAAAAAGUUUGAAGGAAUACAAUGAAAAUGAAUAAACUUUUAUCUCAGGGAAAAUAUAUACUUAGGUUUCUGUAUCUUGUUAUUAAGUGGAUACAAAUUAAUACUGUAUUUCAAAUAGAUUUUUUAAUAGUUUUGGAUGUUUUGAGUCAGCUGGUCAGAUUUUGUUAAUCAUUGUAUUUAACUUCAUAAUGUGACUGAUGAAGGGAUCAUACUAAGUAAAAGUGUCAGUUCUGCCAUUUGAGAGUGGGGGAUCCUAUGUAUCAUCUUCAAUUCACAGGGUUUUCUUUUUCCCAGCAAUUUUUUAAAACCAAUUAUUCACUUUGUAAUAUUUCAUUUUGUUAAAGUUAGAUUUUAAAAAUCCAUAAAUCCCCUUUUGAACCACAAUAUGUCACUAAUGCUCAAAGAAAGAAACUCCAUUUGUAUCUCAUCUGAUGUGAGCGUCAAAUAUAGAAACAAUGUGGGGAUGCCAACCUCAAUCCAUAUGGAUGAAUAGGGCUUAAUUUUCUCAUGAUAAACCUAAGUAGAAGCUAUGAAAAUUCUUACCACACUUCAGUGAAUUAUCUUGUAUACCUCUAGAGUGAGCACAUUCCACUUUGGAGAUCAGUAGUCUCAGCAACAAGACCUGUGGCCAUAAAGUGGGAAUAAACAAUCCAAUUUUUAGCAAUGCUUGGCCCAGAUUCACUUAUGAGUGACAUGAGAAAGGUACAACAUGAUAUUCCAGGAAAUCAGAAGAGCUAAGUAUAUCUGAACCUUUGAGAGUAUGGCCUGUCCAUACAAAGGCAGAAUCUACAUUUGUCAAGUGCCUUCAAGAAACAUUCUACCAAGAUAUGCACCUCCACAAAAGUAAGAAAAAGAGAAAAAAAAGAUUUUAAAAUUUUAUUUUAUUUUUUUGAGAUGGAGUCUCGCUCUGUCCCCCAGGUUGGAGUGCAGUGGCGCUAUCUCAGCUCACUGCAAGCUCCGCCUCCCAGGUUCACUCCAUUCUCCUGCCUCAGCCUCCCAAGUAGCUGGGACUACAGGCGCCCACCACCACACCCGGCUAUUUUUUUUUUUUUGUAUUUUUAGUAGAGACGGGGUUUCACCGUGUUAGCCAGGAUGGUCUCAAUCUCCUGACCUCGUGAUCCACCCACCUUGGCCUCCCAAAGUGCUGGGAUUACAGGCGUGAGCCACCGCACCUGGCCUUUAAAAUUUUAUUUUUAAAAAAUCACACACACACAAAAUACAUUCUACUUUUUAAGAAAAUUGACUUAGAUUUAAUCCCAGCUCUGCUAUUUGCUAACCAUGCAAUUUUGGGAAAGUAACGACCUAUUGGAGCCUGUUUCCCAUCUCCAAAGUGAGAAUGAUUAAUGCUAUACCUACUUCACUGAGAAGAAGAGUGUAUCAUGGUCAUAUUGACCCCUCACUAUGUGCAUAGAGAUGCUGAGCUAAACUCUUUACAAGCGUUUAUUUAAUCCUCAAUAUACCAGUGACUAGAGGCUAAGCAGUUUACCAAAGCAUUUUCCUUUCCCUCCUUAGCACACAGGACUAUAUUUCCUGGCCUCCUUUGCAGUUAGGUGCAGCCACAUUACUGUGUUCUAGCCAUUGAAAUAUGGAAAGAAAUGAUCAAUACUACCUCCAGCCCUGGCCCAUAAAACUUUCCUUUCCAUUCUUCGUGCUCUCAUUCUUCCUUCAUCUGCCGGAGGAUUCAGCAGAACCAUUAGGUGCACAGAGCUCUUCUCUCCUCCCACUACUUCCAACGUGCAUUGAACUGUGAUGUGAGCCAGAAAUAAACUCUUAUUGUGUUAAAUCAUUAAGAUGUGAGAAUUGUUUGUUGCAAGAGUUAGCAUACCCUGACU
rnacentral:lncRNA from 1 species